rnacentral:lncRNA from 1 species
UGGGGGUCCUCUGUCUUCUCACUGAGCCACAGAAGCCAUGGGCAGGGUCCAUCCUCUCAUGUCUAAAGUUCUGCUCUCCUGCAUUAAACUUCCUAAUCUCUCUGGCUUUUGGAUACUGGUGUGUGCAUGUGAUAUAUGUUGUGUCUACAUGUAUAUAUAUGUUUACACAUGAGUUUGUAUAGUCUGUAGUACCAAACUGACUUCUAAAUAAAUGAGUACUCACAAAUUAACUAUCCCAAAUGUUUUUCGAAGUUCAUAUGACUUUAGUAAUCUUUGGUAAAUCAAGCUAGGUUUUUUUGUUUGUUUUUGUUUUUUUGAGAACGACUCUCAAUCU